ACAGCAGUCGCCGCGGGAAUACAGAGGGUGCGAGCGUUAAUCGGAUUUACUGGGCGUAAAGCGUGCGUAGGCGGCUUUUUAAGUCGGAUGUGAAAUCCCUGAGCUUAACUUAGGAAUUGCAUUCGAUACUGGGAAGCUAGAGUAUGGAAGAGGAUGGUAGAAUUCCAGGUGUAGCGGUGAAAUGCGUAGAGAUCUGGAGGAAUACCGAUGGCGAAGGCAGCCAUCUGGCCUAAUACUGACGCUGAGGUACGAAAGCAUGGGGAGCAAACAGGAUUAGAGACCCCAGUAGUCCCUGUCUCUUAUAC
rnacentral:rRNA from 1 species